rnacentral:rRNA from 1 species
GGAUUAGAUACCCUGGUAGUCCACGCCGUAAACGAUGGUCACUAGCUGUUUGGUUUUAGGACUGAGUGGCUAAGCGAAAGUGAUAAGUGACCCACCUGGGGAGUACGUUCGCAAGAAUGAAACUCAAAGGAAUUGACGGGGGCCCGCACAAGCGGUGGAGCAUGUGGUUUAAUUCGAUGAUACGCGAGGAACCUUACCAGGGCUUAAAUGUAGAUUGACAGGUUUAGAGAUAGACUUUUCUUCGGACAAUUUACAAGGUGCUGCAUGGUUGUCGUCAGCUCGUGCCG